UACGGAGGGUGCAAGCGUUAUCCGGAUUUACUGGGUUUGAAGGGUGCGCAGGCGGAUAUGUAAGUCAGUGGUGAAAUCUCCGGGCUUAACCCGGAAACUGCCGUUGAUACUAUAUAUCUUGAAUGCUGUGGAGGUAAGCAGAAUAUGUCAUGUAGCGGUGAAAUGCUUAGAGAUGACAUAGAAUACCUAUUGCGAAGGCAGCUUACCACGCAGAUAUUGACGCUCAUGCACGAAAGCGUGGGGAUCAAACAGG
rnacentral:rRNA from 1 species